rnacentral:rRNA from 1 species
CAGUAGCCGCGGGAUACCAGCACCUCGAGUGGUCAGGAGGUUUAUUGGGCCUAAAGCAUCCGUAGCCGGUUGCAUAAGUUUUCGGUUAAAUCUAUGCGCUUAACGUAUAGGCCGCCGAAAAUACUGUGCAGCUAGGGAGUGGGAGAGGUACACGGUACUCGAUAGGAAGGGGUAAAAUCCUUUGAUCUAUUGAUUACCACCUGUGGCGAAGGCGGUGUACCAGAACACGUUCGACGGUGAGGGAUGAAAGCUGGGGGAGCAAACCGGAUUAGAUACCCGCGUAGUCCCUGUCUCUUAUACA